UUAACUCCCUAUAAAAUGCUACAACGUAAUCCUAGGCAGGUGCUCAGAUUGUCUUUGAAAUUUUCCGUAGUGAGAGAACAAGAUAAGACUGUGAGAAGCCUCCUUCUUCUACCAGCCCCAGAUAUGGCAUCGGUGCAUAGUGCCCUGACACCGGUUGUGUGCAAGAAUGGCAGUCAUUCUUCUGCAGCAAAGUUCCCGACGACUACCUUCUUGCCCGGGUUUGAUGCAGUUGGGCGUCUUUCAAGUCCGUUUAAGAAGGAAGUGUGCCUUAGUUCCCCGAGCUCAGGUGCUAAAGCUACACUAACCUUUGAUCCCCCAGCAACCAAUUCUGAGAAACCCAAACUACCAAGGCAUACAGUUGAUCCCGCUUCUCCAGAUUUUCUGCCUCUUCCAUCUUUCGAACAAUGUUUUCCCAAGAGCACAAAAGAACACAUGGAAGUUGUUCAUGAAGAAACUGGUCAUGUGCUAAAAGUUCCCUUUCGACGAGUCCACCUGGCUGGGGAUGAACCUCCAUUUGACAACUAUGAUACCAGUGGUCCACAAAACAUUAGCCCGCGUGUUGGACUCCCUGAACUGCGGAAAGAUUGGAUUGAGAGGCGAGACAAAUUAGGUGCACCAAGAUACACUCAGAUGUACUAUGCUAAGCAGGGAAUUAUAACUGAGGAGAUGUUGUACUGCGCCACUCGUGAGAAGCUUGAUCCAGAGUUUGUGAGAUCAGAAGUAGCUCGUGGGCGGGCAAUUAUCCCUUCCAAUAAGAAACACUUGGAGCUGGAGCCAAUGAUUGUCGGAAGAAAAUUUUUGGUCAAAGUUAAUGCAAACAUUGGAAAUUCUGCUGUUGCCAGCUCUAUCGAAGAGGAAGUUUACAAGGUCCAAUGGGCAACUAUGUGGGGUGCUGACACUGUUAUGGACCUCUCUACAGGACGCCACAUCCAUGAGACCCGUGAAUGGAUCCUGCGUAACUCUCCUGUGCCAGUAGGGACCGUACCCAUUUAUCAAGCGCUUGAAAAAGUGGACGGAAUUGCAGAAAACCUUAACUGGGAAGUGUUCAGAGAAACUCUUAUUGAACAAGCCGAGCAGGGUGUAGAUUACUUCACCAUCCAUGCUGGGGUUCUACUACGGUACAUCCCACUAACAGCAAAGCGUAUGACUGGUAUUGUUUCACGAGGAGGAUCCAUUCAUGCAAAGUGGUGCUUAGCUUAUCACAAAGAGAAUUUCGCUUACGAGCACUGGGAUGACAUACUUGACAUCUGCAAUCAAUAUGAUGUGGCCCUGUCAAUUGGUGACGGGCUGAGACCUGGUUCCAUUUAUGAUGCCAACGACACUGCACAGUUCGCAGAACUCUUAACUCAGGGCGAACUGACCCGUAGGGCAUGGGAAAAGGAUGUUCAGGUCAUGAAUGAAGGACCUGGACAUGUUCCAAUGCAUAAAAUUCCUGAAAACAUGAAAAAACAGCUUGAAUGGUGUAACGAAGCGCCUUUCUACACUCUUGGUCCUCUAACAACUGAUAUUGCUCCAGGAUAUGAUCACAUCACCUCUGCCAUUGGUGCUGCCAACAUUGGGGCUCUAGGCACCGCCCUUCUCUGUUAUGUAACCCCAAAAGAGCACCUUGGGUUGCCAAACCGUGAUGAUGUGAAGGCUGGAGUUAUAGCAUAUAAGAUAGCUGCUCAUGCCGCUGAUCUAGCCAAAGGUCACCCAUAUGCUCAAGCCUGGGAUGAUGCACUGAGCAAGGCAAGAUUUGAGUUCCGGUGGAUGGACCAGUUCGCCUUGUCACUAGACCCUAUGACUGCCAUGUCAUUCCAUGAUGAAACCCUGCCAGCUGAUGGUGCCAAGGUGGCCCAUUUUUGCUCAAUGUGCGGUCCAAAGUUCUGUUCUAUGAAGAUAACGGAGGACGUGAGGAAGUACGCUGAAGAGCAUGGUUACGGGAGUGCUGAGGAAGCUGUGAUUCGUGGAAUGGAUGCUAUGAGUGCUGAGUUUCUUGCUGCCAAGAAAACUGUCAGUGGAGAACAACAUGGUGAAGUUGGGGGGGAAAUUUACUUGCCAGAAAGUUAUGUGAAAGCCGCAGAGAGGUCCACAGAGAGGUGAAGUUGCAGGUUUGCGUGAAUAACCAGAAUCAGUUUGACGACUCUGGAGGCUUGCGUGCAUGAUUGGCUUGUGCACAACGGAGGUCUUAGGGGUGCCUGUAUCUGCUCCAGCACUGGCCUCGUGGUUAGUAUGUGAGCAGGUCGGGCUGAGAUAGUCCCUUUGAACCUGAACAGGUUAAUGCCUGCGUAGGGAGUGUGCAUCUCUUUUUCCUGUUUCUGUGCUUGCACAGGGAAGGAGAGCCUUCGUCCACGGUUCAGGCUAGCUGAUGGGCAUCAUUGCCGGUCCGAUCAGUCUGCACGGCUGGGAGUAACUGCGUGGCAAUUCUAUGGUACAAACCGGAAACUAAUGCUUAUAACUCACCAGCUUCACUACAUAGCAUCACACUGAACAUUAUCAUUUUGUUCUCUCGUCUUUUGCAACUGGUUUCGUCCUCCCAAAACUCAUUUUUCGAGCUCGGAGCUGGUAAAAACGGAAAGGUAUGCACACAAUUAAGUGCAAAAACAUGCACAAAUCUCGGUUCAUUUUGCUCCGAAUUUGUAGUUUCUAAAACUGUAACCACUCGAGCAUCACUCGAGGCUAUAUUUCUAAAUCUUGAAGAAAAAUGACUCGAGUCUUUCAUGCGUUA